AUUGAACGCUGGCGGCAGGCCUAACACAUGCAAGUCGAACGAGUGGCGGACGGGUGAGUAAUGUCUGGGAAACUGCCCGAUGGAGGGGGAUAACUACUGGAAACGGUAGCUAAUACCGCAUACCAUCGGAUAGUGCCAGAUGGGAUUAGCUAGGAGGGGGGGUAACGGCGCACCUAGGCGACGAUCCCUAGCUGGUCUGAGAGGAGGACCAGCAACACUGGAACUGAGAAACGGUCCAGACUCCUACGGGAGGCAGCAGUGGGGAAUAUUGCACAAUGGGCGCAAGCCUGAUGCAGCCAUGCCGCGUGUAUGAAGAAGUCCUUCGGGUUGUAAAGUACUUUCAGCGAGGAGGCGUUACUCGCAGAAGAAGCACCGGCUAACUCCGUGCCAGCAGCCGCGGUAAUUC
rnacentral:rRNA from 1 species